rnacentral:rRNA from 1 species
ACGGAGGGUGCAAGCGUUAUCCGGAUUCACUGGGUUUAAAGGGUGCGUAGGUGGGUAUGUAAGUCAGUGGUGAAAUCCCCGAGCUUAACUUGGGAACUGCCAUUGAUACUAUCAGUCUUGAAUACCGUGGAGGUCAGCGGAAUAUGUCAUGUAGCGGUGAAAUGCUUAGAUAUGACAUAGAACACCAAUUGCGAAGGCAGCUGGCUACCCGAAUAUUGACACUGAGGCACGAAAGCGUGGGGAUCAAACAGGAUUAGAUACCCUGGUAGUCCACGCCCUAAACUAUGGAUACUCGACAUUUGCGAUAAACUGUAAGUGUCUGAGCGAAAGCAUUAAGUAUCCCUCCUGGGAAGUACGACCGCAAGGUUGAAACUCAA